rnacentral:rRNA from 1 species
GACAGAGGUCCCGAGCGUUAGGCGGAAUCACUGGGCUUAAAGCGUGUGUAGGCGGACUUCUAAGUACCUUGUGAAAUCCCACGGCUUAACCGUGGAACGGCUGGGUAUACUGGUUGUCUUGGGCCACUUAGGGGCUACUGGAACAAACGGUGGAGCGGUGAAAUGCGUAGAUAUCGUUUGGAACGCCAAUGGUGAAAACAAGUAGCUGGGGAGUGUGCCGACGCUGAGACACGAAAGCCAGGGGAGCGAACGGG